CAUAUGUAAUAAUGUGGUUUGGGGAAACCUGUUGUAUUAGUCAGGUUUAAUAUUGUUAGGACACAAUGUCUGACACCUACAAUUUAAGGAAGAAGAAUUUUUUUUUGCUCAUCAUUUCCGAGAAUUCAGUCUUUGAUCGCCUGGCUCCAAGGCAGGAACAUCAUGGCAGAAGACUGUGGCUGUUAGUCCCUGCUGUCUGGGAAGCAGGGAAAGUGCCAAGGACUGUAGAGAGCACCCAGGGUCAGUCCUCCAUACCCCACCCAGAUGCAGAAGUCUGCUUUCCCAGUCUGGGGCCAGUCUUUCAGGACUGCUGAGACUUUCAAGGCCAUCAGCAGCAGCAGGGCUUGAGGAGAUACAGUUGCCCAAUCCGUCUGCAUCCUAUGGAAAGGACCUUAGAUUAUGUCAUCUUAGGUGAGGAAGAUGUAGAAGGCUGCAGUUGGACAGUUUGCUCCUCUGCUAAAAAUAGGGAAAUGACCCUGGGUCAUCUGAGUAGGUCCCGUGUAACCUCACGGGUCCUUCGGAGCAGUAGAGAGGCAGAGAAGGCACAGUGAUGAGAGUGGGAAGGUCUGGACCACUUCAGUUGACUUUGAAGAUGGAGGAGGAGCCUUGUGCUUAGGAAAGGGGUAGCCUCUCUUUGGCAGAGAAGACAGAAGACGGGGAAGAAUGACAGCCCUGGGGACACCAUGACUACAGGUGAGUGAGACCUGUGUCAGACUUCUAACCUGCAGAGCUAAGACAGCAGACCCAGGUUGUUUAAGUCAAAACAAAGCAAAGUAAAAUAAAAGUAUAUUCUCAUUAGCACCCUCCGCCCCACCAAGUUUCUAAUUCAGUUGGUCUGGGUUUGUGUUAAGGGAGUUUGUAGUGCUAACAAAUUCCCAGGUGAAAACAAUGCUUAUUAACUGUUGGUCUGGAGCCAUACUUAGGGAAUUUAGAUUUUAGGAAUAGCUUCAGCCUGUCUGAAUGUUUUAGAGUGUGUUUGAAAAGCUAUGUUUGGUAGCUAGUUAAUUAAUUACAAUGACAAAAUACUGUGAAUAGGAACCCCUCCCUGACAUUCUGGGAAUUGCUGAGGAGUACCACAGACACUGACCGGCUCAGUUUCUGCUGCUCUUUUCCUGCUAAGUUUCAUAUGGAGAACUGAACCAAGCUAUGGGAGAAGGGAUCCGAGGAUCAGAUGACAUCAUGAGCAAGGAAGGACAACGCUCUGAAGCUUCAUGGCAUCCCCACUGCAGCCAAAGGAGAGUGUCAGAGAUGAACACGUUUUGCUGGUGUUUCACUGUUAGGUCCUCAUGAUCCCAGGAGUGUCUUUCUGGGAUAAGCACCAGGGAGUCCUUCUGAUGAAUCCCCGGAGACAGACCUUGGGCUGUUAAGAUUGAAAAACUUUGACGUUAUCAUGUCCGGUAUCAAAUCUUCCCUGAAGCAGAGUCCUGUGAAUACCAGGGACUCUUGCUUCCAUCCAGAAGACCUGUGACCAGAGGAAAACGUAACACUGUCAGACGGAGUGCGGACCGUCUGAGGCUGACUCUUUCAUAGAGUUCAUGGUAUAUACAUGGGAAGUGGCUGACUCAGCAGGAUUUGUUUAAUUGAGCAGGAAAAAACUCAUUGUGAGUCACGGCUUGUUUAUAAGAAACUGUGACAUCAAGGCUAUUUUGGAGAGCUUUUAUUGACAUAGCUUAAUGAACAUAGGUAGUAUUUCCUCUGAUAAAGUGUCUACCAGUACUGGGGAUGUUUUAUGAUAUGAGGCUUACAGUUAAGAAGUAUAAACUUAAUGGAAGAUAAGGCUUACUUUAAUGAGUUUAUUAAAGUCCACUAGAUUCAGGUUUAUUUUUCACCCACUCUGAUAAAGGAAAGGCAACUUUCCCAAACAAAUCCCUGUUGCUUCCUGCAGGUAGGAAAACUUGGGACAGAUACCCUUUCCUGAAACUACUGUUUUUGAAAUGUUUCCAGAUUAAAAUGAUCAGGCAGGUGCUUAUGUCACUGAGCUAUAUCCCCAGAUUAAAAUAAUCAGUAUUCCUGGUGGGCCAUAGUUUUGGAUGGCAUGUCCUUUACUCCUGUGUAACUAUCUCUUGCACAUCUUUUAUAAACUUCUUGACGUUUGCAACUGUUCUUUGGUCAUUUUUCCUUGUGAACAGUCAAAACUCCAGUAUCUGUCCUCCUCUUAGUCUGUCUUUCUGUAAGGAAGCUACUUGUCCUAUUAGAGUAUUUAGCAUGCAAUACACUUAAAAUACAUUUAAUGAGCAACUAGCAUUGAUAGCUAGCAAUUUUAUAAGAAAAAAGAUCUUGGUCAGUUUAUUAACAUGUCAGUUCUCUUUCUUGUUUGUUUUUAUUCUCUUAUAUUCUUUGCCAAUAAGCCCACCUAUUUUGGAGAUGCAAUAAAUAUAGAUGUAACUCUAUUGUAAUAGUUUCCAUCAAAUACUGUAGAUAUUUUUCCAGAACUUAGGGGCAGUAUAAUGUUUUAUUUGUUAUUUACACAAUAUGAUUUUUAGUGUGGCAAAUACAAAUACAUUGUAAAUGCAAAAACAAUAGAGUAUUAAGGAGAAAGAUCAUCUGAAAUUUCAUCAAAUAGACACCAUAAUAAUAACUGCUUAAUCAACAUUCUUUCAUUAAUUUUUAUGUAUACAUAUGUACAAAAUUUCUGAGAUACAAUUUCUUAUAAAUGGUUUCACAUAUAUAUAUGCGGCUAUGUAACCACCUUUCUUUUAUUUUCUUAAUGUAUAUUCUUGACAUUUACCGUGUGCAUGGGUGUCAUCUCUUUAGGCAACUGAAGAACAGUGCUCUGUAAGUUUAAUCUGUGACUUGGUCUCUCGGCUCCUUCUUCUGCCCCUGGGUUAGAUUUCAAUGUUAUAACUCCUCUACUAAAUGGGAGACUUGUCUAGACUCUACGACAUUUUUAAACCACCCUGAUAAAAGUGGUGCUAUUUCACCCUGUGCCUCUGUCCAUCGUACCAGCUCCUCCUCAGCCUUGGGCUUCAAUCAGCCAUUUGACUUCCACAAUGAAAGGGAAAUGUGGGAACAAUUCCUCUGCAUUUCAAAAGGUAGGUUUCCUUGUUUACAUAUUUUUGCAUUUGUACAUCUUUUUUUCCUAAACUUUUGAAAUACAAUAUUUAAAUUCUAUCAUACAUAUUAGAAAACUAUCCUUAUUUUUACUCACGAUUUAAUUUUUAUAAUAUGCUUUAAUACAUAUGGAUUUUUUGUUGUGGCUGAAGCAUUUGAAAAUUGCAGUCAAAUUAUCAGUGUUUUCUAUUUGUGUCAAAAGUAGAGAUCUUCCUCUAAAUUAUGAAAAUGUUCUCUCAUUCGUUUACUUUCCCAGGAACUUUGUUUUAUUAUUUUUUGACAUUUGUAUUUGUUUUGGUGUGCAGACGAAUAUUAAAAAUCUGCUUCUUUCAACAAAUGGUAUCUCCAUAUAGCAUCAAAAAAAUAAAGACAAGUGGACAUUCAGGCAUUAUUUAGACUGAAAAAUACUAUUAAAUUGGUAGAUGGUGCCAAAUUUGAAUAGAGUAUUCCAUGAGAAGAUGGAGUAAAUGUCAUUACUGAGAUUGCACAUACAAUUUUACAUAGUAUGGGUCUCUAACAAUGCCUUAUAUUUAUUACCAGGUGUGUAUGAUUACAAGUAGUGAAGUAAGUGAAGAGAAAAAUAAAAUUUAGACACUAAUGUUAAUGAAAUCAAUGACAUACAGAAUAGGACAUGUUUUCUAUGGAAUAUAGACACUAUUUUAGUACUUAGGGAAGAAAUGAGCAACCACAGACAGAGGAAUUCAGAUUUAAGACAACUUGAGCUUCUGUUUCAUAAAGAUUAUACUGCAUAAGACCAAAGUUCCAGUUUCAUUAAAAAGUAUGAAUGGUGAGGCUCAUAAGAAUGGAUUGGCCUUGUGGGUAGAACUCUAAGGAAUUGAAGUGGUUACAGAUAAUAAGUUAAUGGAAUGCCUCAGGCAAUUACAAUUAAGAGGAAAACAGGGUGGAAAUUGACUUUAUUGAGAACAGGCUAAGGGAUUAUAAAAUUAUAAACGCGCGUUGCGCUGCUGGCUGCUGUAUGAGCCGCAGGUCUUUGAGGGAGUGGAGGCCUCCUGCCGGACACUGAACCCUGGGCUGGCACUGCAGGUGGGGGAGGGCCACAAGCAAUUAGAAAUGAGACCUUUACUUCACACGGAAGUUCAUUAUUCUCACCAUCCUCUCUGAUUUAUCUCUCUGCCCAUCCCUGUAUUCUGUCUUGUUACUUUGCAGUGUACUUUAAAAUACCACAUACUUGUUCUUUGAUCUUUCGCAGAAUUUUAAAAAAUAUAACACUUGCAUUUUAACACAACUUUGUCACACAUCCUGCGCCUUGUAUCUACCCUAACUCUUUCUGUCUUAUCUUAGUCACCAAUGAGUAGGUUAAAUUAUGGCAGUGACUCUAGUGUCAGCAGGAUGACAACAACAGAAGCUCACUUCUUACCGGUUUGUGUGCUGCUUGGACCAAUGUGAGUGGGGCUGGGGGAGAGAUUUCCGAGAGUUACAGUGGUGCCCAGACUGACUGAGGUUCCAGCACUUUAUAGCCACUAGAAAUAACCUCUACUCCUUGGUUACCACAGUAGGGGUGGGCUCUGGGGAAUUGCCCAUGGGUUAAAAAGACAUGUGUCUCCCCACGCCAAUGCACUGUCUUCAACGGUGCUGUCCAAUGGAACUUUCUAUAGUAAUGAAAUACUCUGCAGACUGUAGUGUUUUUUUAAAAAUUUUAUUUAAAGAGAGAGAGAAAAAAAACAAAACAGGGUACAAAAAUAAAAAGGGUACAAAUAAUACAGAAUUUCAAAAAAAUAAACAGUAAGAAAUCACUAGUUAAUAGAUUACAUAUUGUCAUCUUAAAAAUAGUUGUUCAAGUUACAAAAUUAAAGCAUACGAAGUGGACAUUCAAACAGACUGCAAACAGUUAUGUUCAAUGAUCCAACAAAAACUUAGUAAUGGUUUUCUAUCUUACACACUUAAACAUACAUGCAGUUGUAGCCUUUAGAGCACUUUUUUUUCCUCUCUUUUUUACAAUGGCAACUAUACAUUUUGGGUUUUAUUACUCUUACGGUUCUUAUUACUUUUUUUUUGAACAGAAAGAAACCAAAUGUGACAAAGCAAAACAGUCAGAACAGAAGGAUGGACAUAGUACAUGAUGUAAAAACAGAAUACUAGGUGAUCAGCAAUGGUUACCAUUAUGCCUCUUGCUAUCUUAAAAAGAGUUGCCUAUAUCAUCAGCUAUAAUAAAAUUGAACAAAACAUUACAGAACAAAACCAAUAAAACCUAAACAUUGGAGACCUUACAAGACUUCAAAAGAAGAUAAUAGUCAAACCGGAAUGGGCAUCAUAGUGAAUGUAAAAUCAGUCAAAACAAGAUGGUGAGAGCAAUACAGGGCUUCAAAUCAAGUUGAUAGGAAAUCAAAAAAGUUACUAUAAUAUAUCCUGCUUUUUUAUUUACUUUUUUCCUUAAUUUAAAAAAUAAUAAAACAUAAAUAAAUAAAUAAAAGGAGAUUGAGAUAAAAGAGGACAUAACAACAUAACAACACAGGCUAGAACAGAACAAAUUAAACAACAUAGUGUUUCACCACAAGAUAACCUGACAUAAUAGUAGUUACCAUAGUGUCUCUUUCUUUGAAAUAUUUGAGCAUAACUUUGUAUACUAUAGCAUCAAACAUCUCAAGACAGUGAAACCAUUCAAGAGAAUGACAGUAUUACAGGGUAUUUAGAACCAACUAGCAGAAAAAAGAACAAUGCUUUCUAUAUUAUCUCUUUGCCUAUAAAAAAUUUUGUUUAUACUAUCACAUAUAUAUGGUGAUAGGCAUGGGUCUUGUCUUCCAAUAGAUUUAGUGUUUCUGUUUUAAUAUUCAGAUCUUUGAUCCAUUUAGAUUUUAAUUUAGUGCAUGGUGAUAGGCAUGGGUCUAGUUUUAGUUUUUGUCAUACGGAGAACCAGUUUUUCCAGCACCAUUUAUUAAAGAGACUGUUGUUCUUCCAGUAAACCAGUUUGGCCCCUUGAUUCCAGUACCAUGUUGAUUUUCCUACAGUUGCUUUUUACUAUAAGUUCAAGUCAGGGAUUGUGAGGCCUCCUGCCUUGCCUUUGCUGCUUAGAACUGUCUUUCUAUUCUAAGUCUCUUCUGGUUUCAGAUGAAUUUUAGGAGUGAUUUCUCUAGAUCUAUGAGGUAUGUUGAUGGUAUUUUCAUUGGGAUUGCAUUGAAUCUGUAUAACAGUUUUGGGAGAAUGGCCAUUUUCACAAUAUUCUUCCUAUCCAUGAGCAAGGGAUGUCUUUCCAUUUUCUGAGAUCCUCUUCAAUUUCUUUUUUCAGUGUAUUAUAAUUUUCCCUAGGUCUUUCACUUCUUUAGUAAGAGUAAUUACUAAAUAUUUCAUUUUUUUGGUUGCUGGUGUGAAAGGUUUGGUUUCUCUUAUUUCUCUCUCUGUGAUUUUGUUGUUAGUGUGUAGGAAUGCUAUUGAUUUUGUAUCCAGCUACAUUGCUGAAGUUAUUUAUUACAUCUAAGAGUCUUUCAAUGGAGUUUUGGGAGUAUUCAAUGUAGAGUAUCAUGUCAUCUGCAAAUAAUGAUAAUUUAACUUCUUUUCCUAUCUUUAACCCUUUUAUUUCUCUUGCUUGUCUAAUUGCUCUGGCUAGUAUUUCAAGUACUAUAUUAAAUAGAAGUGGUUAUAAGGGACAUAUUUGUCUUGUGCCUGAUUUUAAAGUAAAGGCCUUCAAUUUUUGGCCAUUUAGUAUGAUACUGGCUGCUGGUUUGUCAUAGAUGCUCUUUAUUAUAUUGAGGUAAAGACCAUCUAUUCCAAUUUUCUGUAAGGUUCUUAUCAUAAAUGAAUGUUGGACCUCGUCAAAAGCUUUUUCUGCAUCUAUAGAAAUGAUCAUGUGAUUCUUACUUUUGGCUUUAUUGAUAUGGUGGAUUACAUUUAUUGAUUUACGUAUGUUGAACCAUCCCUGCAUGCCUGGGAUGAAUCCCACUUGGUCAUAGUGUAUAAUCUUCUUGAUGAUUUGCUGCAUCUUAUUUGCCGAUAUUUUAUUGAGGAUUUUUGCAUCUGUGUUCAUUAGGGACAUUGGUCUAUAAUUCUCUCUUUUAGUUGGGUCUUUCUCAGGUUUUGGUAAUAGAGUAAUAUUUGCUUCCAGGAAUGACUUAGGAAGGACUGGUUACCUUUCAACUUCAUUGAAAAGUUUGAAGAGUGUUGGCAUUAAGUCUUUGUACUUCUUGUAGAAUUCUGCAGUGAAUCUGUCUGGGCGUGGGCUUUUCUUUGUAGGUAAGGACUUACUUACAUUUUCAAUUUUAUUAAUAGAAAUUGGAUUACUCAGCAGUUUUACAUCUUCUUGACCUAGCUUUGGUACCUCAUAUGUUUCUGGGAAUCUGUCUAUUUCUUCUGUGUUAUCAAAUCUUUGAGAGUAGAGGUUUUUGAAAUAGGUGUUGAUCUUCUGUAUUUCUACAGAGACUGUAGUGAUUUCACCUUUUUCAUUCCUUAUUGCAUGAAUUUGAACUCUUUCUUCCCUUUUUAAAAUAAGGUUGGCUAGGGGCUUAUCAAUUUUAUUUGUUCUUUCAAAGAACCAACUCUGGUUCAUUGAUUCUUUGGAUUGUUUUCUUAGUCUCAAUUGCAUUGAUUUCUGCUCUGAUUUUUAUAAUUUCCUCCCUUCUUUUGGCUUUGGGUUUGACUUGCUCUUCGUUUUCUAGAUAUUUGAGGUGUAACAUCAGGUUAUUUAUUUGUAUUCACUCUCUUUUCCUGAUGUGGCAACUCAGUACAAUAAAUUUUCCUCUGAGGACAGCUUUCAUUGCAUCCCACAGAUUCUGGUAAGUUGUAUUUGUAUUUUUGUUUGCUUGUAGAUAUUGCUUAAUUUCUUGUUUAAUUUCCCCCAUGACCCACUGAUUACUCAAGAGUUUGUUAUUCAGUUUCCAUAUGUUUGUGGGAUUUUUGCAGUAUCUUUUAUCAUUAAUUUCUAAUUUCAUGGCGCUAUGAUCUGAUAACAUGCAAGGGAUAAUUUCAACUCUUUUGCUUUUAUUUAAAUAUGUUCUGUGAGCUAAUAUAUGGUCUAUUUUAAAGAAUGACCCAUGUACUGCUGAGAAGAAUGUGUAUUCUGAUGUUGCUGGAUGGAACACUCUGUAUAUGUCUAUCAAGUCCAUUUGUUUACAUGUGUGUUUCAGUUCUGUUCUUUCUUUGCUGAUUUUCUGUCUGGUUGAUCUGUCCCUUGGUGUCAAUGGUGUGUUAAGAUCUCCUGUUAUAAUUGUGUUACUGAUAAUUUGGUUUUUUGUUUCUGUUAAUAUUUGUUUUAUAUAACUGGAUGCUCUGGAAUUUGGUGUAUAUAUAUUUAAGUUAGUUAUCUCUUCCUCUUGAAAUUUUCCCCUAACCAGUAUGUAGUGACCUUCUUUAUCUCUUCUGAUCAUUGCUGGUUUGAAGUUCACAUUGUCUGCAAACAGAAUAGCUACCCCCACUUUUUUUUGGGUUCCUGUUGCCUGAAGUAUUAUUUUCCAUCCUUUGACUUUCAGUCUGUGAGUAUCCUUUUGGGCUAGAUGAGUUUCUUGUAAAUAGCAUAUGGUUCGAUGUUGUUUCUUGAUCCAUUCUGCCAGUCUAUUUCUUUUAAUUGGUGCAUUGAGACCAUUUACAUUAAUAGUUAUGAGUGUUAUAUGUUGGUUUAUUGUUGGCAUGUUAUCUUUCUGCUGUUGCAUUUUUAUCUUUCUGUUCCGUUUAACUGUCUGCUUUGUUUAGUGGUGUUUCCCUAAGUAUAUCUAAACUGUCUUUCAGUAUUCUUUGCAGGGUUGGCUUAGUGAUCAUGAAGUUCUUCAGCUGUUCUUUGUCAUGGAAGUAUCUUAUUUGUCCAUCGAUUUUGAAGGUCAGUUUUUCAGGUUACAUCAGUCCAGGCUGGAAAUCAUUUUCCUUUAGGAUCUGGAAUACUUCACUCCAUGCUCUUCUUGACUUUAUUGUUUGUGCUGAGAAGUCUGCUGUGAUUCUGAUAGGUUUUCCUUUAUAAAUGAUCUGUCAUUUCUCUCUGACAGCUUUUAAUAUUCUAUUUUUAUGUUGGAUUUCUGGGAUGAUGAUUAUUAUAUGUCUGGAUGCAGUUUUACUUUGGUUAUGACUAUCUGGAGUUCUAUAUGCUUCACUGAUCCUGAUGUCGAUUUCUGAUCUAAUGUUUGGGAAAUUUCCAGCUAUUACUUCUGUAAAUAUCCUCUUGACAUCCUUUAUGUUUUCCCCUUAAUUUUCAUUUAUCCCUAUCAAUCUCAUGUUGUUUUUCUUUGCUUCAUCUUGCAGUUGUUGAAUUGUUAUUUCCUGAUUCCUGGUUUUUUUUUUUUUUUUUUUUUUUUUUUUUUUUUUUUUUUUGGUCUUUUUCGUUUUUAUUGGUACCAGGGAUCGAACUCACGACUGCCUGCUUGCAAGGCAGGUGCUUAUGCCACUGAGCUAAAUCCCCAGCCCCAUUCCUUGUUAAUUCUAAAAGAUCUUUCCUUUCCUGUUCACUAGCUACAAUCUUGUCUUCGAGCUCUGAAAUUGUAUCUUCACUUUCGUUGAGGCAGUUUUUAUAACUUUCAAUGGAAUUUUUGAUUUCCUGUAUAUCUCUUUGCAUCUGCUUUAUGUAUUCUGUUUGUUUCUAAUAGUGUUCAUCCAGGGAUUCUAUCUUUUUGUUUAGUUCCUCCAUUUUUUAAACUGUCUUCUUUAGAUAUGUUUAGCAUCUCCUUCAUUUUGUUUAUCAUUUCUUCUUUUACCUGGGAGAUUAUUUCUAGUUUGAAUUCCUUUAAAGCUUCCUGGAGUUGCUUGUUUAUUUCAGUUGCUAUUAUGUCUGAUAUUUGAGGUGUAGGGCAUAUAUUUUCUUCUAUUUACAUAGCUCCUAAGAUUUCUUUGGAUGGGCUGGAGGUUUGAGAUUGUAAUUUGGUCUUUCAUUUUAGGCAUUUUCCUAUAUCUCUGUGUUUCAAGUGUUAUCCAAGGCUUCCCCAGGGCCUAUUGGAAAUCCUCUUCUAUGCCCUCAGCUCCUGGGACUCUGGCUGCACAGUUCCCCAGAUUGAGAGAGGGUCACUGGGGGUGGGGCAGGCUGGCUCAGGACCCACUGAGUUGGUCCAGUGCAACAGGAAGCCACAAAGUUCCCUGUUCAGGGCUGAGCGAGGAUCCCAAACUAGCUGGGCUCAGGGAAUGGUGCAGGGACAUUCAUCCUAGGCCGUCCAGCCUCUGGAUCCGAUGGCACUGGCAAGCCCAGAAUUUCAGAGUCUGCCAAGCCCAGCAAGGAGCAGCGAGACCUGUGCAGGCUGGUUCAAGACCCACCAAGCUGGUCCAGUGCAACCAGAAGCUGUGAAGUUCCCUAUCCAGGGCUGAGUGAGGGUCCCAAGCUAGCUGGGCUCAGGGCAUGGUGCAGGGGAUACUCACCCCAGGCCACCCAGCCUCUGGAAUCGAUGGCACCAGCUUGCUUAGAACUCCAGACUCUGCCAAGCACGGUUGGGAGCAGGAAGCUGUUGCAGGCCUGCUCAGGACCCGCUGUGCUGGUCAAUCUGUAGUGUUUCACACAGCAGUCAUUAGCUAGGUAUAGGUGUUAUGCUUGAAAUGUGACUAAUGUGACAGAGAGACUGAGUUCUAAACCUGCAAGAAAAUUAAUUUUCAGUAUAAACAACCACAAGUGGCUGUUCAAUAGAGAUUAAUGUUUUGCUUCACCCGAGGGAAGCAAGGAGUAUGAGGAAUAAAGGAAGUGUCUGAAGAGUGUGACUGACUCUGCCUUCACACCCCAAACCAACAUCUCCCCUGAAACACGUGUGUGCACACUCCCACUGGAAUUUCAUUGCGUUUUAAACAAAAUCUUACUUUAAUCUUUUAAAUAUUCCAUCUUCUUAUUUGAGUACGUGGUAUGAUUUUCCAUUUCUUACAAUAAUCUUUGUUUCAAAGUCCUAUUUUUUUGCAUAAGAAUCUAUUUUUGAGCUACCAUUUGAAUCAGAUAGAUAAUGGGUAGAAUGUUAGCACUGUAUUUAAAUUAUUGUAAUCUCUGUCAUCUUAAGCUAGUCAUGGAGCCUCUUCCUGUCUCAAUUGUAAAGUUUGUAGGAUAACAGAACCCACUGCUUCUUCUCAUUGUUGAUUCUGCUUCUUAUUAUGACAGCUACAUUACAACUCUUUUUAAAGUUAAGAAUAAUUAUUGUGGGCUAGGGAUUUAAUUCAUCAGCACAAGCAACUGCCUGGUAAGCACGAGGUUGUGAGUUCAAUCCCUGGUACCACCACCACCACCAAAAACAGAAAAAAUUAAGGACUAAUUUAAGAGACUUUUGGGCCAGGGAUAUAGCCCAGUGGCACAAGUGCCUGCCUGACAAGUGCAAGGCCCUGAGUUCAAUUCCUGGUACCAAAAAAGUAUUAUUGGAUUAUUUUAAUUAAUAUUAUUAUUAGAUAACAAGCACUUUAUGUGCUAAUAUUACUUAAUUUACACAAGAACCAAAUGCAGUUACUUCAUUUAAAUUGAUGAGAAUAUAGUUGGCACAGGGCACUUUAGCUUCUAUUGCUAUUGCCAU